rnacentral:tRNA from 2 species
GCUUUCGUGGUGUAGUGGUUAUCACAUAUGCUUUACACUCAUUGGACGCAUCAGGUCCCCGGUUCGAACCCGGGCGAAAGCA